GCCCGAGUAGCUCAGUUGGUUAAGCGUCCGACUUCGGCUCAGAUCAUGAUCUCGAGGUCCGGUCUGUGAGUUCGAGCCUUGCAUCGGGCU
rnacentral:tRNA from 1 species